rnacentral:lncRNA from 1 species
GAAAUGCAUAUUUCUGAACUUUACCUUCAGAGAUUCUCACUCAUUAGGCCUGGGAUGUGGCUCCAGAAUCUGCCUUUUCAAGAGUGACUACUGGUUGGGAAGCUCCAAUGCAACCGACUCAUUGCUUUGAAGAUUACCGACGUGCACACAGUGAGAGUAAACCAGGAGACACGUGCCGUUCAGGGUUAAGAUCAGAACACAAUGUCAAUUAAAUCCACGUGGGUUCUGAAGAAGUCUUGGGAAGAUGAUCAUUGUCCCUGAAGAUGACCACUGAAGAUCAUUGCUCUCCAGCCUUGCCUCAUGAUUGGAAUCAGCUGGGGAACUCUGUAAAGCAGCUCGCUCCUGGCUUUGUCUCCUAGAACAGUGGUUCCCAGCUUCAUCCGCCCCCUGGGAUCACCUAGGGAACGUUUAGCAAUCCAGACAUACAGGCCACACUGCAGACUGAAUCAAAAUCUCUAGGACUCAGGUGUGAGUAUUUUUUUGAAGCUCCCCUGUGAUUUCAAUGUGCAGUCGAGGUUUGAGUGACUGUGCUGGAGACUGAUUCCAGAAGUCAGGGGUGGUGACCAAGAAUCAGUAUUUUUAGGACGAGCUCCAGAUGAUUCUUGUGAACACAAAGUUUGGAAGUUACUAAAUUUGAUAUAUAGGGAUCUAUUUCAAAUUAUUUAAAGAACCAUCUACAUUUGACUUCAUACUAAACGGUGCAAAAAGAUUGAAACCUGCAUUGGAGAAGAAGUCUUGUUUGUCUUCAUUGCUAUAGCUCCAAGAGGAAAAUUUGAAAAUGGAAGAUCCUCAAUAUAUUAGCCCUGUGCUAACAUCUGCUGCCGAUCCUCUUCUUUUUGCUGAGGAAGACUGGCCCUGAGCUAACAUCCAUGCCCAUCUUCCUCUACUUUAUAUGUGGGAUGCCUACCACAGUAUGGCUUGCCAAGCGGUGCCGUGUCCACACCCAGGAUCCGAACCAGUGAAACCCAGGCCACCAAAGCGGAACUUGCAAACUUUAACUGCUGUGCCACCGGGCUGGCCCCUAUUGUCAUCUUUUAUUGUCAUGUAAAAAAUAGCUUUAUUUCUUUUUGUGACUGUAAAAACUAAUAUAGCCAUUAUGAAAAAAAAAGUCAAAUAAUACAGAAAAUAUGGAGAAGAGAACACAGCCUAAA